AUACGUAGCAGUUGCUUUUUGACAGCUUGCUUCUGGAGUGAAUGAAUAAAUUAAUAAAUUUAUUCAUUUGAUAUUCAGUGACAUGUGAUAUUCAGUGAUCCAUUUUGCAGAUAACACUAACAAAGUUGACCUUAGAAUUGGAGUGCCCGGGUUAGAACCUUGCUGGUACCACCUGCUUACUGCAUGCUUCUGAUGUGAGUUCAGGAGAAGCCACUGGCAAGGACAGCAAAGAACAGGAGAACACUCUAGCUUCCCUGAUAGCAUUCAAGGUGCUGUCCAAAGCUCUUGAGUUUCUGCUUUCAAGUGACCCUCAGAAAUGCCCCCAUUCACUGCAGAGGUUCUGUUUCUCCUUGUUUUGUUCCGACUUUAUGGCAGAACUAGGUUAAUGAGUUAAUUACUAUGAGUUAUCACUUGGAUUUGAAGAACCAUCAUUUCUAGGCUUUGCUGCUCAGAGUGGCCUUGCCAUCGUAUCCCCUUUUGGAGACACAAGCCAGGAAGGAAGCUCUUCAGUGCAGCUGUGAAUAGAGAAACGCUGGCUGAGGUUUUGGGGACACUGGGUGAUCAUUCCCAGUGAAAUUUUUAGAUCCCUGGGGACAUGAGCUGCUUUGUCUUUUCCAAGGCUGAAAAAGUUUUGGAAGCCCUCCUAAGCAGCUGCCAGACCCUUUUUUGGCCAGAGACAGGAUCUUACUCUGUUGCCCAGGCUGGAGUGCAAUAAUGUCACCAUGGCUGACUGUAACCUGGAACUGCUGGGCUCAAGGGAUCCUUCCAGCUCAGCCUCCCAAGUAGCUAGGAGUACAGUCUGGAGAACACUUUUGAGCUAUUUACAACCUUUAAUAAUUGAGUAGAGUAUACUCUUGUAAAUAGAAUUUGAAGCACAUUUCUCUUUCUGCCUGAUUUCUCUAGAAUUUGUAAACUAUUUGUGAAUAUUCUAAAUUUAUGGCAAUAUGGUUGCUCACAUAAGUUCAAUAAUAAUCUGUUUUCUUUUAUAAUGAGACACAGUUGGAGGAACUGGUUAUUUUCCCAGGGCUUUGACUGAAAUGGCCUUGUGAAUGGUUCCAGGAAAGCCAAUUUUGGAGACCCUAUGUGGAUGAUGAUGCUUGCUGUACUUUCUGUGGGUAAUCGGGCCAAGUAUAUGGGACUGAAGCUAAUUUUGCAGGUGAGGAAAUGGAGGUCCAGAGAGAAAAGUGACUCACCCAAGCUGAAAACAAUUGCAGGAAGAAAAGCUGUUAGGAAUCUUGGAGUACACUAAAGAUGAGGAACUGAGUCACUGCAAUGCCAAAUGUAACAAGCUGUGGGUCAAAAUUUGGAUGUUUGCAUUGGAAAUUAUUCUGAAGCCACAGACAGGGCUAAAAGGAUGAUUCACAAAGCGUUCAUAGCAGGGAAGCUGAUGGAAAACUGACAUGCCCCUAGACUUGAGAGAUGCUCUCUAAGUUUAAAAAGGAAACAGCUUAUUGUAAAAUUUAUUUGAAUCCUACAACCUUCCCAUAUCUGUGUAAUUAGCAAAAAGACAAGCUGCAACCAGAGAGG
rnacentral:lncRNA from 1 species